rnacentral:lncRNA from 1 species
UUCCGCGCCGGUUUCUCUCUCCUCGGGUUACCAUGGCGGAUCGCGCAUGCCGCUUUUCAAUCUGCUCUCGGAGGUGUCGGUGUUCGUGCUCACCCAUGGGCGCGGUGUUCUAGCCAUCUGAUUCUCGUCUUCCUGCUUUCCGCUUUUAUAUGUUCAGGCAUUGGCGGACCUUGGUAUCCGGAUGCUUGAUUGCUUCAUCCCCGAUAGGCACGUUCGCGGCUGAUCUUCUUGUUUAUCUCGGUAGAUUUUUUACGCAUUUUCUUUUGUGAUGUGAUUUGUGAUGCAGACGGAGGCCUUUUCUGGUUCCGCCGAGGGUUUCCGUGAGGUACUCAGUGAAUCGGAAAAUUGCUGGUGAUUAGUUGUUUGUUGAUUUUUAGAGAACCUCUCGAUCAGAUAUUUUACCUUUCAGCGUUCUCCAGAUCGAAGAAAUCGAGGAAGGGGAGAGCCAGUAACGGUGGGAACCGCUGCUGGAACGGCGUUGGUCUAGGUUUCACGGAGACCAACCCUAGAGAAGCCACUGAAGGUCCGGCGAAUUUCGUUUUUAUCUCAACUGGCGAUCAAUCCGUGCCUAUUCUAUGAUCUCGGUAAUAUCUUGACGACGGAUUUAUUCCGUACAGUCGAUGGACAUUUCCUGCCAAUUAUUCCUGCUUGAAUUUGAGCACGCAGUCUGAUGAUCAUACCGUACUCCCUCGCCGCAGAAGACGAAUCGUUUUCCAGCGUGUAAGGGAGAUUCAAGAGCAGCUGUCGUCUCCUGCCUGAGUACUGGUGUUCUUGGCUGGAUUAAGCUCGACAGACGCAACAGUAGAAAUAAGGUACUCUCUCUGCCUCCAUUGGAGGCGACGACCACCAUGCGAUCAUUAGAGUCUACCAUGUUCAAGACAGAAAACUCUCAGCAUGUCCGAAUCCCGAUCGGCGCCGAAGAGAAGAUCUCCCCACGUUCAUUACAGCGAGGCGGGCUGAGAUCUAUGGAGUGAGAGAGGGGGCCUGAGAUCGAUCAUCUUCCUGUGAAAAACUCCUGGUUUUUUACCAAACCAG